rnacentral:rRNA from 1 species
AUUGAACGCUGGCGGCAGGCCUAACACAUGCAAGUCGAGCGGAUGAAGGGAGCUUGCUCCUGGAUUCAGCGGCAGACGGGUGUGUAAUGCCUAGGAAUCUGCCUGGUAGUGGGGGAUAACGUCCGUAAACGGGCGCUAAUACCGCAUACGUCCUGAUGGAGAAAGUGGGGGAUCUUCGGACCUCACGCUAUCAUAUGAGCCUAGGUCGGAUUAGCUAGUUGGUGGGGUAAAGGCCUACCAAGGCGACGAUCCGUAACUGGUCUGAGAGGAUGAUCAGUCAAACUGGAACUGAGACACGGUCCAGACUACUACGGGAGGCAGCAGUGGGGAAUAUUGGACAAUGGGCGAAAGCAUGAUCCAGCAAUGCCGCGUGUGUGAAGAAGGUCUUCGGAUUGUAAAGCACUUUAAGUUGGGAGGAAGGGAAGUAAGUUAAUACCUUGCUGUUUUGACGUUACCAACAGAAUAAGCACCGGCUAACUUCGUG